rnacentral:rRNA from 1 species
GAUGAACGCUGGCGGCGUGCCUAAUACAUGCAAGUCGAGCGAACAGACGAGGAGCUUGCUCCUUCGACGUUAGCGGCGGACGGGUGAGUAACACGUAGGUAACCUACCUAUAAGACUGGGAUAACUUCGGGAAACCGGAGCUAAUACCGGAUAAUAUUUCGAACCGCAUGGUUCGAUAGCGAAAGAUGGCUUUGCUAUCACUUAUAGAUGGACCUGCGCCGUAUUAGCUAGUUGGUAAGGUAACGGCUUACCAAGGCAACGAUACGUAGCCGACCUGAGAGGGUGAUCGGCCACACUGGAACUGAGACACGGUCCAGACUCCUACGGGAGGCAGCAGUAGGGAAUCUUCCGCAAUGGGCGAAAGCCUGACGGAGCAACGCCGCGUGAGUGAUGAAGGUCUUCGGAUCGUAAAACUCUGUUAUUAGGGAAGAACAAACGUGUAAGUAACUGUGCACGUCUUGACGGUACCUAAUCAGAAAGCCACGGCUAACUACGUG